GUAGCACGCUGUGACUAGCAUAUCAAUAAGCGGAGGAAAAGAAACUAACAAGGAUUCCCCUAGUAACGGCGAGUGAAGCGGGAAGAGCUCAAAUUUGAAAUCUUAAAGGGUUUCCCUUUACGAAUUGUAGUUUAAAGAAGUGUUUUCUGUUGAGGUUUUGGUAAAAGUUCUUUGGAAUAGGACAUCAUAGAGGGUGAGAAUCCCGUAUUUGACCUUUACUUUCAACUUUGUGAUACACUUUCAAAGAGUCGGAUUGUUUGGGAAUGCAGUCCAAAAUGGGUGGUAAAUUUCAUCUAAAGCUAAAUAUUGGCGAGAGACCGAUAGCGAACAAGUACCGUGAGGGAAAGAUGAAAAGAACUUUGAAAAGAGAGUUAAACAGUACGUGAAAUUGUCAAAAGGGAAGCGUUUGACACCAGUGUUGUUUUUCUGAAAAUCAAUUAAAGAACUGUUUAUGCUAAGCUUGUUUAGACUUUAUCAGCUAUCUGUUUAGUUUUGAGCUUUUCUUUAAUGCACUUUUCAGUUAACAAGUCAACAUCAAUUUCUUUUGCUGUAAAAAAGCUUGAGGAAGGUGGCUUGAGAUUCGUCUUAAGUGUUUAUAGCCUCUUGCCUAUGCAGUCGGAGAGAUUGAGGUCUGCAGCGUAGAUCCUUCGGGGCUAAAUGCAUUUGUGCUAAGUUAUAGCAUUUUAUAGACAACUUGUUGACUAUGAUUUGUCUUGUAGCUUACUCGCUUAUGUUAUUUUACCUACGCUUAGGAUGUUGACUGAUAUGUAGUCGUA
rnacentral:rRNA from 1 species